GGGUGCAAGCGUUGUCCGGAAUCACUGGGCGUAAAGGGCGCGUAGGCGGCUCGGUAAGUAGGGGGUGAAAUCCUGCGGCUUAACCGCAGGGCUGCCUUCUAAACUGUCGAGCUUGAGCACGGUAGAGGCAGAUGGAAUUCCCGGUGUAGCGGUGGAAUGCGUAGAGAUCGGGAAGAACAUCAGUGGCGAAGGCGGUCUGCUGGGCCGUUGCUGACGCUGAGGCGCGACAGCGUGGGGAGCAAACAGG
rnacentral:rRNA from 1 species